rnacentral:rRNA from 1 species
AUUGAACGCUGGCGGCAGGCUUAACACAUGCAAGUCGAGCGGAGUGAUGGUGCUUGCACUAUCACUUAGCGGCGGACGGGUGAGUAAUGCUUAGGAAUCUGCCUAUUAGUGGGGGACAACAUCUCGAAAGGGAUGCUAAUACCGCAUACGUCCUACGGGAGAAAGCAGGGGAUCACUUGUGACCUUGCGCUAAUAGAUGAGCCUAAGUCGGAUUAGCUGGUUGGUGGGGUAAAGGCCUGCCAAGGCGACGAUCUGUAGCGGGUCUGAGAGGAUGAGCAGCCACACUGGGCCGGGGGCACGGCACAGACUGCUACGGGAGGCAGGAGGGGGGAAUAGUGGACAAUGGGGGGAACGCUGCUCCAGCCAUGCCGCGUGUGUGAAGAAGGCAUUAUGGUUGUAAAGCACUUUAAGCGAGGAGGAGGCUCUUUUGGUUAAUACCCAAGAUGAGUGGACGUUACUCGCAGAAUAAGCACCGGCUAACUCUGUGCCAGCAGCCGCGGUAA